AUGAACAACAUUACCAAACGAUAACUGCUGAACGACAGGCCCCUCAAUCAAUCAGGACAGGUGCAUAAACAUGCAGAGGCUAUGGAUAGUUUUGUUUCGACAACAUACAAUAUAAUUGCAGUUGAAGGCAAAUCCUUCAGAAGUUCUUUGUACUUUAUUCUAACAACGACAUGUUUUGAUAGGGAAUAUAAGUAAGGGGGAAAGUAACCAAUUUCUUGUUCUUUACUCCGGUAUUUCCGCUGAUAUAGAUUUAUAUCGGAGAUACAAAUCCUUGAUCGGAGCACUCCCGCUUUGGAUAAGUAGGUUUCAUGCUGAAUCAAAUAUUCUCACAGAUAUUUACAAAGUGUGCUGGGGUGCUUUUAUGUUUAAAAUCGUUAUAUACAGGUUAGACUAUGAUUUUAAAAACAAAUGUUGAUAUCUUUUUAUAAUGUUUACAAAAAAACGGUGCGGGAAAUGGACAUGAUUACAUUUCCGGAUGCGGGAA
rnacentral:lncRNA from 1 species